AUUAUUCUUCGGGGCAGGGUGUAAUUCCCGACCGGCGGUGACAAACAUAUCGAGUUUGAAGUCCGUGACCCGCGUUUAGCGGUGGAUCUAGUGAGAUUCUAGAGCCGACAGUAAUAGUCUGGAUGGGAGAAGAAAAGU
rfam:Oceanobacillus oncorhynchi strain Oc5 genome assembly, contig: CONTIG000001